rnacentral:rRNA from 1 species
UACGUAGGGUGCGAGCGUUAAUCGGAAUUACUGGGCGUAAAGCGUGCGCAGGCGGUUUUGUAAGCCAGAUGUGAAAGCCCCGGGCUUAACCUGGGAAUGGCAUUUGGGACUGCAAGGCUUGAGUGCGGCAGAGGAGACUGGAAUUCCUGGUGUAGCAGUGAAAUGCGUAGAUAUCAGGAAGAACACCCGUGGCGAAGGCGGCUCUCUGGAACGCAACUGACGCUGAGACGCGAGAGCGCGGGGAGCAAACAGG